UUAAAUACACUGUGUAGCACGAUAUUACAGGCUUUCUAUAUGAGAGUUUUUAUGCUAUAUUCACAGGCAGACAGUUCCCCAAGAGGAAUGAAUAGGGAAGAGUGCUACACUGAACACUUUUGGACUUGGCUUCAGAAUACUGACUACAUAGAACAGACGAUCCCAAAAGCAUGUUCCAGGGACAGAGGAAUGAGCUUAGCAAGAUCUUGACUGAGGAACCUCACAACAGGCUUGGACAGAGAACCAUCAUCCCCUGAAGAGUGGCAACUGGAUGGAGCAACCCAGGAGGUGUCUCCUUAGAGGGGGGAGUCAGAAGUCCUUGUGCACAGAAGACUGUGAAAGAAUAAGAAAACAGCCCAAAAAGGGAGCACAGGAUUGCUCUUCAAAAUAAAGUAAAGUAAGAUAAAAUAAAGUAAAAUACUGAUUCUACUUGAUGAUUGGAACUUUUCUAACUGAACAGUGUCAUCAGAAAAUGACAAUUUCAUGAACAUGGCUUGGGUUUGACGCACAUGUUCAAUUGUACAUAGGGUCCAAGUAGAACCUGAUGGGUUUUUGAUAGGCUUCUGGGCAGCCGAGGCUUCUAAGUCUGUGGUAGCCCUGCCACAUCAGACCUUUCUUGUUCUGUUCGUUAGUGUAAUGGUAACUUUCAGCAGAUGCUAUGUUGGUUUUUUUUAACUAUAUCCCCAUUCCCCCCAAACAAUGAAAUUUGCCUGUGUCUGUGGGGUAACACACUCAAAGUAAUAGGUGCCUGGUCCAAAGUGUCGGAGGAAGGACUGCAGGGGUCUUGUAUCUGACCUUAGAUGAGGGAAGGUAAUUUUAACUGCCAUGAUAGACAUGGAGACUAAGAACAGAAAAUGGUAUUUCUCUGAAAAUGUCUCCUAGGCAAAGACCUACCUUUCACCAUACUGCACAACACCUCAUUUUUAUUCAGAGACUCAGGCUGAAAUCCAGGCCCUAUGGAAGUCAGUGCCAGUUUGACCAUUUUGUUGAUUGGAAGUAAGGAUUUUCCCUUUGAAUCUAUUCUUCUAUACAUAAAGCAGCCUUUAAGGCUAGGGACACACAUUACACAUAAACCAGUUCAAGUGAUCAAAACUGAUUUAAACCUGUAACCGAACGUAUGUUCAGUGCACAUACACUGGUAUGAAAAUGGCUGAAACCAGUUUAAGAUAAAUCUGGUUGAAUGUAGUAUCAGACUCAACUGAUUUGGCUCAAACCUGUUUAUGCAAUGUCUUUCCCAGAACACUUGCUGGCUUAAAUUAUAUCAGACUCCCCCAGCAUCCCAGCAUGCUCUGCCUGGGCAGGGCUCUCUGCUCCACAGCAGGGCUGGCUCCUCCCUUUGGCUCCCUGGCUGCAUCUUGGCACAGACUG